AUCAGCAGCCAUAUCACCCUGCAGCCCAAGACUGGUUGCCCACUGAAGCUAAGCAGGGUUGAGCUGGUCAGUACCUGGAUGGGAGACCUCCUGGGAAAACUAGGUUGCUACUGGAA
ensembl:rRNA 5S_rRNA 5S ribosomal RNA